rnacentral:rRNA from 1 species
AUGACAACCCGUAUCUUCAGUGUCUCUGAAGCAUGUUGCUCUUCUGCUGGUGAUAUUUAUAGGAUGAAACCUCUUUCUGAUGAUGUCUCAAGAAGGCUCUUCUAUGAAAGAGUAUUUUCUUCCGAUAAAGGAUGUCCUCAUGAGUUGAUGGAAGUAUCUAAACACAUCUUGAAGAAAUGUGGUGGAAUACCAUUAGCCGUUAUUACCAUAGCAAGUCUUCUAGCUAAUAAUCAUCGGAUGAAACCAAAGGACCAAUGGGACACCGUGCUCAACUCCAUUGGUCGUGGACUCACAGAGGAUCGUAGUGUAAUUGAGAUGAAAAAGAUACUAUUGUUCAGUUAUUAUGAUCUACCUUCUUAUCUUAAGCCAUGUUUAUUAUAUCUAAGCAUCUUUCCAGAAGAUCACGAGAUUAUUAGAGGAAAGCUAAUAUUGAAAUGGAUAUCCGAAGGAUUUGUG